GUAGGUGGCAAGCGUUGUCCGGAAUUAUUGGGCGUAAAGCGCGCGCAGGCGGUUCUUUAAGUCUGAUGUGAAAGCCCACGGCUCAACCGUGGAGGGUCAUUGGAAACUGGAGAACUUGAGUACAGACGAGGAAAGCGGAAUUCCACGUGUAGCGGUGAAAUGCGUAGAGAUGUGGAGGAACACCAGUGGCGAAGGCGGCUUUCUGGUCUGUAACUGACGCUGAGGCGCGAAAGCGUGGGGGGAGCAAACAGGAUUAGAUACCCUGGUAGUCCACGCCGUAAACGAUGAGUGCUAAGUGUUAAGGGGGUUUUCCGCCCCCUUAGUGCUGCAGCUAACGCAUUAAGCACUCCGCCUGGGAGUACGACCGCAAGGUUG
rnacentral:rRNA from 1 species